UGGCGGUAGCGGACGAUGGCUAUGGCUUCCUGUUCCCGCAGCCGCGUCGUUUCCCACGCUGUCACCGUCGCCGGAACCUGCCGCCUCGCGACGACAGCGACGGCCGUACGAACGGCGCCCCGCCACGGCGGCACCUUCCGUGGCCGCACGCCGGGCGGCCCCAAAAGAUCUGCCGCGUCGCCGUCGCCCAUCCGGUGGUGCCCCGCCGGCCGCGGGUGGGGCGGCGACCGGUGGCCCUCCCGCGGCCACGGGAACAGGUGGGGUGGGCGCCGGGACGACCGUGAGUCGCUCACGGGCCGGAUUGCAUUAUCCGCUAGCCGCGCCAGCUUGCUCUGCUCCACCCGCCAUUCUUUUCUCUGCUCUCCGGCCGCCUUGCUCUCUGUCUGUCUUGUCCUCGUCGCCUCUCCGCUUGCCCUCCGCCCUCCGGCGCCUCGGUGCCCUGCCGACUGCAAGUUCAGCGGUGAUUCAGCACAUGGUUGUUCGCCCGCGCCUGCGCGGCCUUUGAUCGCGAUAGCCUCCUCGUCGCAGUUGUCGGGGGAAGCAGCGCCGGCGGCGUCCAUGGCGGCGGGGUCGUCGAGGCAAGCGACGGAGAAGGUGGACAAGUGGAUGGCGUUCCCGUCGGGCGCCGGCAGCGGCAGCUUCACCUUCCCGCCGCUGAGUUCCGAGUCGGGCGGCGGCAAGGAGAUCGUGGAGGAGCUGGCGUCUUCCUCCCUGCGCGCCGCCGCCGGAGGCGGCAGCAGCAGUAACCGGCAGCCGUCGUUCCAGCGCGGGCGCGACAGCGGCGUGGCGGGCAGCACCAAGUCGUCGCUGGACGGCGCGCGCGGUUCGGGGGACUCGUCGUCGCUGCCGCGGGUGUCGCAGGAGCUCAAGGACGCGCUGUCCAACCUGCAGCAGACCUUCGUCGUCUCCGACGCGACGCGCCCGGACUGCCCCAUCAUCUACGCCAGCGCCGGCUUCUACACCAUGACCGGCUACUCCCCCAAGGAGGUCAUCGGCCGCAACUGCCGCUUCCUGCAGGGCCCCGACACGGACGCGGACGAGGUGGCCAAGAUCCGGGACGCCGUCAAGGCCGGGCGCAGCUUCUGCUGCCGCCUGCUCAACUACCGCAAGGACGGCUCGCCCUUCUGGAACCUGCUCACCGUCACCCCCAUCCGCGACGACAGCGGCAAGGUCAUCAAGUUCAUCGGGAUGCAAGUGGAGGUGAGCAAGUACACGGAGGGGCUCAGCGACAAGCGCAUGCGCCCCAACGAGCUGCCGGUCUCGCUCAUCCGCUACGACGACCGGCAGAAGGAGACGGCGAUGUCGUCGAUAACGGAGGUGGUGCAGACGGUGAAGGACCCGCGCGCCCGCUCCCAGGGCGAGGAGGAGGAGCCCAUGGAGCCCCCGCCGCCGGUCACGCCGGCGCGGGCCGGCGCCGCUGCCACGGCGUCACUGACGGUCGGCCCCGGCACGGCGUCCGGCGGCGCCGGCCACAAGUCGCCGCUCUGGGACCUCAAGGAGGACUCGUUGAGCAGGAAGCUGAGCGGCCGCGGCUCAUUCAUGGGGUUCAAGAUGGGGAAGAGGAGCUCGGUGGGGAGCAGGGAGCAGGCGCUACCGGCGCCGGAGGUGGAGGCGCCUGCGCCACGGGAGUUGGCGGCGGAGAAGGAGCGCAAGAACAGCUGGGAGAAAGAGGGGAGGGAGAGGGACAUCAGGCAGGGGAUCGACCUCGCCACCACGCUGGAGCGCAUCGAGAAGAACUUCGUCAUCACCGACCCCAGGAUCCCGGACAACCCCAUCAUCUUCGCGUCGGAUAGCUUCCUGGAGCUGACGGAGUACACGCGGGAGGAGAUCCUCGGGAGGAAUUGCAGAUUUCUUCAAGGGCCGGAGACAGACAUGUCCACUGUCGAUAAGAUCCGUGAGGCCAUCCGGGAGCAGAAGGAGAUCACUGUCCAGCUCAUCAACUACACCAAGAGCGGGAAGAAGUUUUGGAACUUGUUUCACCUGCAGCCGAUGUGGGACCAGAAGGGGGAGCUUCAAUACUUCAUUGGUGUUCAACUAGAUGGAAGUGACCAUGUCGAACCCCUUACGAAUCGUCUCUCUGAGAAAACCGAGCUACAAAGUGCUAAAUUGGUCAAAGCUACAGCAGAGAAUGUGGAUGAAGCAGUCAGAGAGCUUCCUGAUCCCAACUUGAGACCAGAGGACCUGUGGGCAAUUCACUCUCAGCCUGUUUCACCAAAACCUCACAAACGAUACAAUUCUUCUUGGAUAGCGAUAGAAAAGAUUACAAAAUCUGGGGAGAAGAUAGGCUUGAAGCACUUCAAGCCUAUAAAACCUUUGGGUAGUGGUGACACUGGAAGUGUACACCUGGUGGAGUUGCAAGGCACUGGGGAAUUAUUUGCAAUGAAGGCAAUGGACAAAUCAGUGAUGCUGAAUCGCAACAAGGUUCAUCGAGCUUGUUUUGAAAGAGAAAUAUACUCACUGUUGGAUCAUCCGUUUCUACCAACACUAUAUACUUCAUUCCAGACACCAACACAUGUUUGUCUCAUAACAGACUUUUGUCCUGGAGGAGAAUUAUUUGCACUGCUUGAUAGGCAACCCAUGCAACUUUUCAGAGAAGAAUCUGCAAGGUAGCUGUUAUUUUACGCUGCGGAGGUUGUAAUUGGUCUCGAAUAUCUCCAUUGCCUUGGAAUUAUAUACCGUGAUCUAAAACCAGAAAAUAUUUUGCUUCAAGAGGAUGGACACAUUGUUCUGACUGAUUUUGACCUCUCAUUUUUGACUUCUUCAAAACCCCAUGUGAUAAAGCAUUCGACUUCAAGACGGAGAAGAUCUAAAGAUUUUUUCCCCCCAAGUUUUGUUUCAGACCCUGCCACUCCAUCGAAUUCUUUUGUUGGAACUGAAGAGUACAUAGCUCCAGAGGUCAUCACGGGUGCACCACACACAAGUGCCAUUGAUUGGUGGGCUCUUGGGAUUCUCUUGUAUGAGAUGUUGUAUGGGCGGACACCUUUUCGAGGAAAGAACAGGAAAAAGACAUUUUAUAACAUCCUGCACAAAGACCUUACGUUUCCUAGUAGCAUUCCGGUUAGUCUUGCGGCAAAGCAAUUAAUCCAUGGAUUACUUCAGAGAGAUCCCUCUUCUCGACUUGGCUCAAGUGCUGGUGCAAACGAUAUCAAGCAACAUCCCUUUUUUGAAGAUAUAUACUGGCCGCUUAUUCGUUGCAUGGAGCCCCCAGAGCUUGAUGUUCCGCUGAAAUUAAUGCUGAAGGAACCUGAACUUAAAGUGAAACCCGAGGAAGAUUCUCUCACUCUGCAUUAUUGAGACAUUUUAAGGGCAGGCUGUACAAACCGCUCGUGGAAGGAACAUUCUUGAGCAUGUAUAGUAAUAAGAGGCUUCAUGAGCAGAUAGAAGGAAUUAUAUAUCAUCUUCUGAGUUGCAUUAGAGAUCUUGUACAUGAGUGAUUCUUUUGGUUAGAUUAAGUGCAUAAUGUAUCCCAUAAAUCAUAUCACGUCCUUGUAAUAGUUGCCACCAUUUCUACAGAUGGUUCAAUAAAAUUUAGCAUGUAGUGUUGAUGUUAUACAUUAGUACCACCAUUUGAGAUGGAAAUUUCAUUUACCA